AUUUUAUUUUGUGUGUUCUUGUAAUGUUAAUUAGCUAAUGUUGGCAUAAUAACACACCAAACUAAGAUGGCGAACAUGCUAAACAUUACUCUUGGU